rnacentral:lncRNA from 1 species
AAAAAGAAAAAAAAAAAAAAAACUAUGAUGAACAAUGUUUAAAAACUUGUACGUGGUGCUUUCGAUUUAAAUGUGAUACAUAAGGCGGUGGUAUCGUAUUGAACACACCCCAUAAAUUAUACCAAAAUUAUAAAAAUUGAGUCAUCAAAACAGAACAAGUUUCUUUAGUUUGAAGGAUAAUGUUAUGUGGUUUUGGUGCUAUAUUAUAUUCUUAUUUUUCAAAGUAAUUAUGCUUUUAUAAUAUAAAAAAUAAUCUUGUUAACCUAAAACAUUGUCCGUUUGACCAAACAACCAGUUCCUUGGAAGAUUAAACCAGCCAUUACACAAACUUUCAACAACAAGCAUCUAAUGUCAAGGUUUUUAAAACACACUUUUUCUAUAUGAGUUGCAAGGGUCUGGAUAUAUCAAAACGAUUUCAUACAUAUAAGUCAUGAGAUACGUGGUUUUAUAAUAGUGUAUAUACUUUUACUCGCGUAUCAUUUUUUCCCAAAAUGGUACAUAAACCAUGAGUUAGGCAGUAUGAAAGGCAAAUACUUAAAUAUGAUUCGCAUAUCGCUAAAAAAAACCCUUAUUAGUCUUGAAUCUGAAUCGAAUGAGUUUACCAACUAUCUCGAUGUAAAUUCAUACACAAUGAGUUUCGAUUAAUAUCUAUAAUAAAUAUAUUUUUUCCGCCUAUAACAAAUGCCACGCAAAUCAGAUUCGAGUAUAUGAUUGGUGUAACAUUAAAGAACAUAUUUUCUUCUUUCUGUAGGCUACCCGUUAGAAAUAGAGAGGUUAUGAUUAACACAACUGAAAAAACAGCUAUGUAGAUGAAUUUAUAAUUUUCUCGAAUCAGAUUCCGGAAUUAAAUCGCUAUUUCUCGGAAUAUAUAAUUGUUUAUCAUGUCAAAGCAAGCAAAUCAAGUAGAUUUAUUAAAAAAAUAUAACCUCCAAAAAAUUGGAACAUAUCAAUAUAUAAUUGUUUAUCAUGUCAAUCAAUAAAUAAAUCUUGAAGAACAAGCAUAUACAGAUCAAAACCCUAGGUAAACAUUAGACAAAAUUCACGCGUCUGUGUAACAAUUUGAUUCGAUGAACUAUAACAUAUGUUACGAUGAUUAGACAAUAAUCAACAUAAAUAUCAAUCAUUAUGUGAUGAUUCGAAUAAUCCAAGAAAGUUGAUCGAUAACUGACCGAAAUUGAACAGGAAAAAUAAUCGGAUUUUGCAGAUUGGUUGAAACAGAAUUCAACAAGAGAGAAUCAGGGUCCGUCAAAGGGAGAUUUAUGAGAGAGAUUAAUAUAUACACAUGGCGUCUGACACAAGAUAAUCGUCGGUUUGUGUGAAGGAAGCUUAUUCACGCGUUGCUUCGAC